UAAGUUCAAGAUUUCAAAAAAUAAAACCACUUUGCAAAUAGCCAUAUAUUCCUUAUUUAAGUUCAAAAAUUUUAUAAAUUGCAGUAUAAUAAUAUCUAUAUUUUCCACGGCCUAUAUAAAAUACUCAACCAUAUUUCAUUUAUCCUCCCAUCACAACUUAAUUGUUCUUCAAUUAAACUCAGUCUUCUUAACUGGUGCAACAAAAAAGUAUAGCGAAAAAUUAGUUUUCUAAAGCCUCAAUAACCUCCAAAGUUAUUUAUUAGAGCUUAAACUCAAAGUAACGCACUAAACC
rnacentral:lncRNA from 1 species